rnacentral:lncRNA from 1 species
GCUCGCGAGUAGCUGGGACUACAGGCUCCAGCCACCACGCCUGGCUAAUUUUUUGUAUUUUUAGUAGAGACGGGGUUUCACCGUGUUAGCCAGGAUGGUCUCUAUCUCCUGACCUCAUGAUCCACCCGCCUCGGCCUCCUAAAGUGCUGGGAUUACAGGCGUGAGCCACGGCGCCCCGCCUGCUUUUCUCCUUUCUGGCUACAUUGUGAAUGUGAGAGCUGGAGCGUGAAUACGCACCUUAGACUAUGAGUGGAAACCAUGUGCUAAGGAUGAUAGAGCCAAAGAUAAGAGCCCGGUUUCCUGGCAUCGUGGGACGGCGCGUCACCUCUAGAGAGACUACUACCUCCCUAGAGAGAUUUUUAACGACAUCAAGGGCUCCAGACAUUGAGAAAUUUUCCCUUUAAGUUGCGAUGGGAAUCCAGAAAACGCCAUAUGGACCCCUCUAUGCUGUGAAAUACUUCAGUACUCAGGAGAAGUCACGUUCUGGUUGCUGCAAGCGUGUGAUACCCUGUCAUUAAAAUAAGAAAUAGAUUGUUAU